ensembl:lncRNA
UUUGUCUUUAGUUGUACAGCACUUUGGUCAACCGUUAUUCUUAACUGUGCUCUAUGUUUGAUUUGAUUAGAUUUAAUCAAUUUAGCCCGUGGUUGGUUAAGAGGAAUACAUGCCGUGUUAUAUCAGCGGAUAUAUGCAUUAGGCACAGGACAUAAAGUCUGCAUUCAAUUCUUUCUUGUUUAGAGCCAGUAGAGCUUUCCCAGACUUCGUAGAAAGAGCAUUUUAGAAUAGUAUUUUUCUAGGAACAAAGGCCAUAUCUCAGGAUUUAGUUUAAGUUCAAACUAAGCCUAUUAACUCUGCUUCCACAAGUGUGUUGACUUAAUUAAGAUGUUGGUGAGUCUUUCAACCGUAUUCCCUUGAGGCUUAUGGCUUACUUAGUUACUUACUUAGUCUUCAGAGCAUGUUGAUAUAUUUUCAAAUUAUUCAACCAAUUAAUCUCAAUUAACCCUUGGGGUCGGGCCCACUCAGGAGUGCAUGAAGUGCAAAUGGGGUGGGAGGAGAUUGCUGACCCUAAAUGUCUCAUAGACAUCCUGUAUAUAUACACUCAGUUCCCAAUAAUUCAUAGCCAUGAGCAUUAUAUGACUAAUCAAUGACUGUGUAGUAAAGCGAUGUGAUGUGAUUAGUCCGUUCACAGGGACAUCACUUACUGGCAGAUGUUGAUUGAGCAAAAACUGUGGAAGCAGAUGCACAACUGUUUAAGUUGAGGUUGCAAACAUUUUCCGAGCAAGGAAUGGGGUCAGAGGCCAAGAAAAGGUACGGAACCACCACAGCCACUGGGGAAGUCGGGUAUGUUGGCUGGAUUUUACCGAAGGUUUCCACUAGAGGCCAACACUGACUGCGAUAGCUCCAAGCGAAACAGACACAUGGUGAUACACAUCUUCAACAUCCAUAGCAAUAAAUCAAUGGAUGAAAUGUUAAUAGAAACCUCAAAUAUGCAUAGAGAAUACAAUGUUCUCAUUGUAACAAUCAUAAUAUGAAUAGCCACUUAAAAUGAUUCACAGAUGUAGUAAUAAUCCAAUUGCUUUUAGUGUGCUUGUUAAUUGUUUUAACUAAAGCUUUCCAGGUAUGUGGAUUGGUCUGUGCUAACACUAAGUUUAUAAACAGGAUUUGUGGAUUUAUAUCCAAAAUAGUUAGGCGAGAAUUUGAGAUUCUGCAACCUAAUAUUCAUGCAGUGCACGUGCACAGACACAGACAAAUUGAGCGACAAAGGAUACACUAUCAUAGUUUUGCCCCUAGAUGAGCGUAACUAGUUUAUUUUCUAUGAAUAGGCAGGCACAGAAAAGCAGCUAGUUUUGAAUGCCCUUAGACAGCGGUUUGACGGCUUCCUCCAUAACCAUUUACUGACACACAGGUCAAUAUUCAUAAUAUAUAUUCCUAGUAUGCCCAUUUCAAAUAAAUGUCAUUCUUCAACUCAUUCAUGAAAUAGUACAUACAUAUUCUCGUAACAUUCCAGCUAUGCCAUACAGUCAAAAAUCAAAGCAACUCACCCAUAAAACUGGGCUACAUGCUACGUUUACUCUUAUAUUGUGGGCUGUGGUCACUAAAAAAAAAAAUCUAUAAAUAUAUAUACAAACACACACACACACACAUAUAUAUAUAUAUAUAUAUAU